rnacentral:rRNA from 1 species
CAUGCAAGUCGAACGGUAACGACUUCAUUACCUUCGGGUAAUGAAGGGCGACGAGUGGCGGACGGGUGAGUAACGCAUAGGAAUCUGCCCAGUAGUGGGGGACAACUCCGGGAAACCGGAGCUAAUACCGCAUACGCCCUACGGGGGAAAGCGGGGGAUCUUCGGACCUCGCGUUAUUGGAUGAGCCUAUGUCUGAUUAGCUUGUUGGUAGGGUAACGGCCUACCAAGGCAACGAUCAGUAGCUGGUCUGAGAGGAUGAUCAGCCACACUGCGACUGAGACACGGCGCAGACUCCUACGGGAGGCAGCAGUGGGGAAUAUUGCACAAUGGGCGCAAGCCUGAUGCAGCAAUGCCGCGUGUGUGAAGAAGGCCUGCGGGUUGUAAAGCACUUUCAGUAGCGAAGAAAAGCCUGAGGUUAAUAGCCUCGAGUCUUGACGUUAGCUACACAAGAAGCACCGGCUAACUCCGUGCCAGCAGCCGCGGUAAUACGGAGGGUGCGAGCGUUAAUCGGAAUUACUGGGCGUAAAGCGCGCGUAGGCGGUUUGGUAAGUCGGAUGUGAAAUCCCCGGGCUCAACCUGGGAAUUGCAUUCGAUACUGCCUGACUAGAAUGUGAUAGAGGUAAGUGGAAUUCCCGGUGUAGCGGUGAAAUGCGUAGAUAUCGGGAGGAACAUCAGUGGCGAAGGCGGCUUACUGGAUCAACAUUGACG